UACAUAGGUGGCGAGCGUUGUCCGGAAUGACUGGGCGUAAAGGGAGUGUAGGCGGUAUUGCAAGUUAUAUGUGAAAGCCCUUGGCUUAACCAAGGAAUCGCAUAUGAUACUGCAGAACUAGAGUAUGGGAGAGGAAGAUGGAAUUUCCAGUGUAGCGGUUAAAUGCUUAGAUAUUGGAAGGAACACCAGAGGCGAAGGCGGUCUUCUGGCCCAAUACUGACGCUGAUACUCGAAAGCGUGGGGAGCAAACAGGAUUAGAUACCCUGGUAGUCCACGCCCUAAACUAUGAAUACUAGACGUAGGAGGUAUCGACUCCUUCUGUGUCGUAGCAAACGCGAUAAGUAUUCCGCCUGGGUAGUACGGCCGCAAGGUUGAA
rnacentral:rRNA from 1 species